rnacentral:rRNA from 1 species
UGGGGAAUAUUGGACAAUGGGCGAAAGCCUGAUCCAGCCAUGCCGCGUGUGUGAAGAAGGUCUUCGGAUUGUAAAGCACUUUAAGUUGGGAGGAAGGGCAGUAAGCGAAUACCUUGCUGUUUUGACGUUACCGACAGAAUAAGCACCGGCUAACUCUGUGCCAGCAGCCGCGGUAAUACAGAGGGUGCAAGCGUUAAUCGGAAUUACUGGGCGUAAAGCGCGCGUAGGUGGUUCGUUAAGUUGAAUGUGAAAGCCCCGGGCUCAACCUGGGAAUUGCAUCCAAAACUGGCGAGCUAGAGUAGGGCAGAGGGUGGUGGAAUUUCCUGUGUAGCGGUGAAAUGCGUAGAUAUAGGAAGGAACACCGGUGGCGAAGGCGACCACCUGGGCUCAUACUGACACUGAGGUGCGAAAGCGUGGGGAGCAAACAGG